rnacentral:rRNA from 1 species
GUCGCGAGAAGUCCACUGAACCUUAUCAUUUAGAGGAAGGAGAAAGUCGUAAACAAGGUUUCCGUAGGUGAACCUGCGGAAGGAUCAUUGUCGAAACCUGCCCAGCAGAACGACUCGCGAACUGUGGUUAUAACUCGUCGGGGGGCGUUGGGGCCACUUCCCACCGCCCUUCGGCAAAAGGUCUCGGGGGGCACCGGAGACAAACGCCUCGGGUGCCCGGCGGGACCUGCAACCAAACCCCGGCGCAGAACGCGCCAAGGACAACUAAAUCUAGGAGGGAUCUUCCCUGCAUUCCCGGAAACGGUGCGUGCUAGGACGAUCCGCCGAAAAUCACGAACCAAAACGACUCUCGGCAACGGAUAUCUCGGCUCUCGCAUCGAUGAAGAACGUAGCAAAAUGCGAUACUUGGUGUGAAUUGCAGAAUCCCGUGAACCAUCGAGUCUUUGAACGCAAGUUGCGCCCGAAACCCCGGUUGAGGGCACGUCUGCCUGGGUGUCACACAACGUUGUCCCACCAAUAUCCCUUCCCACAAAAGGAAGGGAGGGANGGAUGCUGGUCUCCCGUGAGUCUUUUCUCGCGGUUGGCCUAAAUGCAUGUCACGGCGAUGGGAGCCCCGACCAACGGUGGUNGAACGAACCUCGGCUAAGGUUACGGCCUCCCGUCCCNNCACGGCANACGAGACCCCCGCGUUCCUCGGAACGCCACAACUGCGACCCCCAGGACAGGCGGGGAUUAACCGCUGAAUU